AUCUGGAGGACGAGUCCCAAAUAGGACGAAAUGCGCGUCUGUCUGGAU
rnacentral:hammerhead_ribozyme from 1 species